rnacentral:lncRNA from 1 species
CUUCUUUCUGGGCAGGCAAAUUCAUCUAGUGUCUCUUCUACACACUGCAUAAUUAGAACAACUCUGAAGUAUCAUUUCUCAGGUUGUCUGUAAAGAGCAGGAUUUUACAUUAUAAGCCUUACCCAAAUAAUAGGCAUUGUAAAGGAGGAAAGAACACCCUGCGUAGGAAGACCUGCUACAUGGAGGCAGACUGAAUUGCUAUAUACCUCCAGCAGCAGACAAUUAUAGAUGCUCACAGAAGUCAGUAAAUCACAUUCUGCUUAGAAAACCACUCUGGAGAUAUGACAAGAGGAUUGAAGUUGAGCUGGCACAGCUUCACUUCUGCUCAAACCUUCUCUAUGAAAACCUAAUAUACACUAAAACAAAUGAGGAAGAAGCCUCCUACAGAGCAGCACAGCUAUGGAGAACAGAAAUAGGACAAAGCCAAGAUCGUAGAAGAAAUAUAAUUACUUCUGGCAUACUGAAAGAAGAUAUCUUCAUCACGUCACAUUAA